rnacentral:rRNA from 1 species
UACGUAGGGGGCAAGCGUUGUCCGGAUUCACUGGGCGUAAAGCGCGUGUAGGCGGAGCGCUAAGCCUGGCCUGAAAGCCCCCGGCUCAACCGGGGAGGGCGGCUGGGGACUGGCGUUCUUGAGGGCGGAAGAGGGGGGCGGAAUUCCUGGUGUAGCGGUGAAAUGCGUAGAUAUCAGGAGGAACACCCAUGGCGAAGGCAGCCCCCUGGUCCGGCCCUGACGCUGAGACGCGAAAGCGCGGGGAGCGAACGGG